AGCGAACGCUGGCGGCAGGCUUAACACAUGCAAGUCGAACGGAUCCUUCGGGAUUAGUGGCGGACGGGUGAGUAACACGUGGGAACGUGCCUUUUGGUUCGGAACAACACAGGGAAACUUGUGCUAAUACCGGAUGUGCCCUUCGGGGGAAAGGAUUUAUCGCCAUUAGAGCGGCCCGCGUCUGAUUAGCUAGUUGGUGAGGUAAAGGCUCACCAAGGCUACGAUCAGUAGCUGGCUGAGAGGAUGAUCAGCCACCACUGGGACUGAGACACGGCCCAGACUCCUACGGGAGGCAGCAGUGGGGAAUCUUGCGCAAUGGGGGAAACCCUGACGCAGCCAUGCCGCGUGAAUGAUGAAGGUC
rnacentral:rRNA from 1 species